rnacentral:rRNA from 1 species
AUUGAACGCUGGCGGCAGGCCUAACACAUGCAAGUCGAGCGAGCGGCGGACGGGUGAGUAAUGUCUGGGAAACUGCCUGCUGGAGGGUGAUAACUACUGGAAACGGUAGCUCAUACCGCAUACCAUCAGAUGUUCCCAGAUAGGAUUGGCUGGUAGGUAGGGUAACGUCUGAUCUAGGCGACGAUCCCUAGCUGGUCUGAGAGGCUGACCAGCACACCGAGAACUGAGCCACGGGCCAGACUCCUACGGGAGGCAGCAGUGGGGAAGAUUGCACAAUGGGCGCAAGCAUGAUGGAGGCAUGCCGCGUGUGUGAAGAAGGCCUUCGGGUUGUAAAGCACUUGCAGCGGGGAGGCGUUACCCGCAGAAUAAGCACCGGCUAACUCCGUGCCAGCAGCCGCGGUAAUAA